rnacentral:rRNA from 1 species
GAGUUUGAUCCUGGCUCAGAACGAACGCUGGCGGCAGGCUUAACACAUGCAAGUCGAACGGUCUCUUCGGAGGCAGUGGCAGACGGGUGAGUAAUGCAUGGGAAUCUACCGUUCUCUACGGAAUAACUCAGGGAAACUUGUGCUAAUACCGUAUACGCCCUUUUGGGGAAAGAUUUAUCGGAGAAUGAUGAGCCCAUGUUGGAUUAGCUAGUUGGUAGGGUAAAGGCCUACCAAGGCGACGAUCCAUAGCUGGUCUGAGAGGAUGAUCAGCCACACUGGGACUGAGACACGGCCCAGACUCCUACGGGAGGCAGCAGUGGGGAAUAUUGGACAAUGGGCGCAAGCCUGAUCCAGCCAUGCCGCGUGAGUGAUGAAGGCCCUAGGGUUGUAAAGCUCUUUCACCGGUGAAGAUAAUGACGGUAACCGGAGAAGAAGCCCCGGCUAACUUCGUGCCAGCAGCCGCGGUAAUACGAAGGGGGCUAGCGUUGUUCGGAUUUACUGGGCGUAAAGCGCACGUAGGCGGACUUUUAAGUCAGGGGUGAAAUCCCGGGGCUCAACCCCGGAACUGCCUUUGAUACUGGAAGUCUUGAGUAUGGAAGAGGUAAGUGGAAUUGCGAGUGUAGAGGUGAAAUUCGUAGAUAUUCGCAGGAACACCAGUGGCGAAGGCGGCUUACUGGUCCAUUACUGACGCUGA